CAACGCCGCGUGAGGGAUGAAGGCCUCUGGGCUGUAAACCUCUUUUCUCAAGGAAGAAGACAUGACGGUACUUGANGAAUAAGCCACGGCUAAUUCCGUGCCAGCAGCCGCGGUAAUACGGGAGUGGCAAGCGUUAUCCGGAAUUAUUGGGCGUAAAGCGUCCGCAGGCGGCCUUGAAAGUCUGUUGUUAAAGMGUGGAGCUCAACUCCAUUUCAGCAAUGGAAACUACAAGGCUAGAGUGUGGUAGGGGCAGAGGGAAUUCCCGGUGUAGCGGUGAAAUGCGUAGAUAU
rnacentral:rRNA from 1 species